AAGGGAGGGUGCUGUUUUCAUCACACUCAACUCUUCAAAUUGUUUAAGUCCUGUUCUGAUGACAGCAUUGGUUAGAAAUCAAGAGGAUAAACAUGAGACAUGUUAGUGCUACACUUUCUAAAUAAAAGGAGAAUCCUUUCUGAAGCAGCAAUAAAAAGGCAAAAAGACAUCGUAGUUGACUGACUUGGUGCCUUGAAAUGAUAACUGUAACGUGUCCUGGUUUUGCAGCUAUACAAGGCUGCUUAUAUUCUUGCUGUCCUCAUCGUGACAUGGUGAUUCAGACAGCAGACCGAUGAGCUUGAUCAAAACAGACAGAAAAGUGCUGAACACGUACAAGAGUGCUUUCCAGCAACUUGCCAUUAUCAGUAGCAUCCAGAAUACAGACUAGCAGAUAUGGAACAGCACAGAACAUCUGCCAUCCAGACAAAGUUAAAA